GCCAGGUUGCACAGGUACGCAUCCAGGUGGGUCUUGAACGUCUCCAGGCAAUGAGACUCUACAAACUCUCUGGGCACAUGGAGUUCUAACGUACACAUAUGAAACUUCCUUCAGGCUUUCCAGGUUCUAGUUUCUGAAAAAUGUUCACAACAAAUAUAACUGGAAUUCAUCUUUCUAAUAAAUCUAAAUACAAAAUUUGCUACUCCUUCAUAGAUGGUGGUGAUACGUAUUAUAGUAUGGAUGAUGUCCAUUAUAGUACAACUAGACAUUUAGAGUUUUAUGGAUCAUAUAGAGCAGCAGCAGAUAAUGCUAGCACUGAAAGAGAAGCUGUGUAGUGGUGUGAGAGAUUCUGCUGCUACUAGGGGAAUAUGGAUGUCCAGAUAGUAUAAGAGGGAAAUGGAAGAUGGCUUCUCUGUCUUAAGUAAGGACUAGCCAAAAAUUUGGUUCAUAGAUUUUUCUCUAACAGAUCUCAAAAGAAUUUAGUAUUGCAACGAUGUUUUAAGGAGCUUAUUAUGAAACAGUGCAUAAACCUUCAAAUCAUUUUAACCUAACCUCUGUUCAACUCCCUAACUAAACUUUAAAAUUACCAUAAAAUCACUGAUUCCAAAGAAAUCUGAAAGAAACAGCUUGUCUCUUUAAAACUUCUGGCAAAUUGUCUCAAAUAAAAUGUAAUUUCAGAGAACUAACCGAGAGAAUAAAGGAAUUCAUGUGAAAACUUAUCCUUUCUUUGCCAGAAAUUUCUAUGCAUGUGAAGAACCUUCUGUUAAGAAGAAAAAUGAAAAGUAAGUUAAGUUCAAUUCUGUGUACUAUCUUUCCAUAUAGAACAAAAUCUGUACUAAAUGCAAUUUUGUAAUUGUAUGUUUUCUGUUCUUGAAGGUCAUCCAAAAAGAAAGAAAAAGUUGUUCGUGUUGGCUUCUUUCAGCUGGUAAUGAAAGCAAUGGAUAUAAAUGUCUGCAUGGUUCUAAAGAAUAAAUGAUACUAAUGUAUAUGGUGUUCUGGAGAAUAGCUGUGAAUGAGUCGAACUUGUAAGAAACUAAACCAUUUGGCAUGAAAUUCUACUAUUAAAUUCAGUAGGAAUUUAAUAGAACUAUUUUUUCAUUUCAUUAACUGAGUAUUAAUUGCCAGUAUCUGUGUAACAAUUGUCUGUUAAACACGUUAUAUAGAACCUGCAGGUUACUAUAGAAAACUUGGAAAUGCACAAUGCUGUGUGGUAUGUCUAGCCAUAGGCUGUAUAUUUGAUCUGUCCUGGAGAGCCAUAGAGUGUGUCACAAUGUUGAAAUGAACAUAGUAGAGACACCCAACCCAACAGCAUGCAGCAAAGAGAUUUUUGUAUUUCUUUUUCUCACACGUUGUUUAUGCAAGUAGCCUGUAAUGUGUCCAAACUAGAAUGAUCCUGAUUAAUACUGGACUAGUGCAGUGACACCUGCUUGUACUUUACCUGACUAGGUAUCUCAAAUCUUAGCAGAACAGUCAGUUCAUGCUUGCCAUUGUGGAUAUUCCCAGGGGGAGAACUGUGGUGCUCCUUUCUGCCUUAUGGCUGUUGAAGGAUGAAUCACAAGUUUUUCCAUCUCUAGGAACUAGCUUACUGGUUUGCAAAACAGUGAUAGUGUGCUUCCUUUUUUUUUUUUUUUUUUUUUUAGAAAGACCUUUUGUUUAUUUCUUUUGCAUAUUGACUUGUUUUUCCUUUUAUCGUGUUUCUGUCCCAAUAACCCUUUCAAUAUGUGUUCCAAAUUCCUGCCCCUUCUUCUCUCAAACACAUUAUAACACCUACAGAACCUAGACUGGUUCUUCAGCUGGCCAGGAUUUCUCUUUCCAGUCCUUUACAGUAGCAUUCAAUAUUAAUAUUCUAUAAGUACAGUUUAAUCUAUGUAUUUAUGCCUGAUUCUAACCUGAGAAUCAGACUUCACACGAUUGUGACCAAAGUAAUUUAAGACACUGUAACUUAGUUGUGCAACCAGCUGUGUGUGCAAGCACUUGGCCCAUGUAAGGCAAUAGCGAUUAGCUCAGUCCCUUUUUUUACUGCAUACUGAGUCAUGUUUCUAUACAUUUCUCCUAGAUUAAGAGUCAGUGCACAAUUACCUAGUUCAGCCAAUGCAACUUAGACUAUUAACUAUGAGAAUUUGUUCUGAGAUUUUGAGGUGAAUUUCUACCACAGCACCCAGUUUUGAGAAAUUGGAUAGUUCUGUUCAGAGACUGCAAAAUAUCCUGAGGCUUUUUUGUUCCUUCCUUCUCCCUCUCUCCUUUCUCACAGGAAAACUGCAGAGGUGACUAUAUAUAUGGAUUAUAAUUACUGUUCUUAAGAUAGAGUCUGGAGUGAUGAUAAUGUGGACUGAUAUUGCCUUAUUAAUAUUAUAUGAUAAUACUCUAUGAUUCUAUACAUUCAUUCACACGAUCAGAUUCUUCUGUCAAAUACUUAAAGAGAGUUCAUCAUAAUUUAUGAGACUGUAAUUACAGGUACAAUUCUAUUAGACUGGAGAGAGAUAUUUCUCUUCUUUCUAUAUUGAAGAAAUGAUGACUCUUAAGAAGAAUGACUUAGUAUCUGAUCCACCUGAUUAAUGAUUUAUCAGCAUACAAGCAGCAUGAGACCAUUUUUUUUUCCUGUCUCUUUAGUUUCGAUUUUCUUCACCUAUGGAAAUUUUAAUGAUGGUUGUUGGUAGCUUCUGUGCUAUUCUUCAUGGAGCAGCCCAGCCAGGCAUGUUGCUUGUGUUUGGUGCAAUGGCAGACACAUUCAUUGAAUAUGACAUUGAAAUGCAAGAGCUUAAAGAUCCAAAUAAAACAUGCGUAAAUAACACCAUAGUGUGGAUUAAUGGUACUGUUCAUCAGAAUGAAAGGAACACCACAAUAAGAUGUGGACUGCUUGACAUUGAAAAAGAAAUGACCACUUUUGCAGGUUACUAUGGAGGAAUUGGUUGUGCUGUACUUCUGUUAGGAUACUUUCAAAUCUGCUUUUGGGUUAUGGCUGCAGCUCGUCAGAUACAGAAAAUCAGGAAAGCUUAUUUCAGGAACAUUAUGAGAAUGGAUAUAGGCUGGUUUGACUGCACGUCUGUAGGAGAGCUGAACACAAGAAUUUCUGAUGAUGUUAACAAAAUUAAUGAGGCUAUUGCUGAUCAAGUAGCAAUCUUCAUCCAGCGCUUAACCACCUUUGUGUGUGGAUUCCUACUGGGAUUUGUCAGUGGAUGGAAAUUGACCCUGGUUAUCAUCGCAGUCAGUCCCCUCAUUGGGGUUGGAGCAGCUGUCUAUGGCUUGGCUGUGGCAAAACUGACAGGCCGAGAACUAAAGGCUUAUGCAAAAGCUGGGGCUGUGGCUGAUGAAGUUCUCUCAUCCAUCAGAACAGUAGCUGCUUUUGGUGGCGAGAAGAAAGAAGUUGAGAGAUAUGAUAAGAAUUUAGUGUAUGCUCAACACUGGGGAAUCAGAAAAGGAAUAAUAAUGGGAGUAUUCAGUGGUUACAUGUGGUUUGUAAUCUUCCUGUGUUACGCAUUAGCCUUUUGGUAUGGCUCUAAACUUGUCCUUGAAGAUGAUGAGUAUUCACCCGGCACUCUUUUACAGGUUUUCUUUGGUGUUUUAGUAGGAGCUUUAAAUCUCGGUCAAGCAUCUCCCUGCCUGGAAGCCUUUGCCACUGGACGCGGGGCUGCAACAAACAUUUUUGAGACAAUAGAUAGAAAACCCACCAUUGACUGCAUGUCGGAAGAAGGCUACAAGCUGGAUAAAGUAAGAGGUGAAAUUGAAUUUCAUAAUGUAACAUUCCACUAUCCUUCCAGACCUGAUGUAAAGAUUUUGGAUAACCUUAGCAUGGUUAUUAAAACAGGGGAGACAACAGCUUUUGUUGGAGCUAGUGGAGCUGGAAAGAGUACAAUAAUACAGCUCAUCCAGCGUUUCUAUGACCCUACCGAUGGCAUGAUUACUCUGGAUGGCCAUGACAUUCGUUCCCUUAAUAUCCAGUGGCUGCGCUCACAGAUUGGUGUUGUUGAGCAAGAGCCAGUGCUGUUUGCUACCACAAUUGCAGAGAAUAUUCGCUAUGGUCGGGAUGAUGCUACCAUGGAAGACAUAAUCAGAGCAGCCAAACAGGCCAAUGCUUACAAGUUCAUCAUGGACUUGCCACAGCAAUUUGACACUCAUGUUGGAGAGGGUGGAAGUCAGAUGAGCGGAGGUCAAAAGCAGAGGAUAGCUAUUGCUCGAGCCCUUGUGAGAAACCCUAAAAUCCUGCUACUGGAUAUGGCUACUUCAGCACUUGAUAAUGAAAGUGAAGCAAUUGUCCAGGAAGCACUUCAAAAGGCUCACCUUGGCCGCACAGCAAUCUCAAUAGCUCACCGCCUAUCUGCUGUCAAAGCUGCUGAUGUCAUCAUUGGGUUUGAGCAUGGAAGGGCUGUGGAGAGAGGAACUCAUGAAGAACUCUUGAAGAGAAAAGGGGUUUAUUUCAUGUUGGUGACCUUGCAAAGCAAAGGAGAGACAGCACUUAGUAGAGCAGCAACAGAAUCAGCAGAAAAUAAAGUGGUUGAGCCAAGUCUUGAGAAAGUCCAGUCAUUCAGAAGAGGAAGCUAUCGUGCCAGUUUGCGAGCUUCACUUCGGCAGCGGUCUAGAUCUCAGCUCUCUAAUGUGGUUCCUGACCCUCCAUUAUCCAUUGUAGGAGAUCAGCCAGAGUCUGUGUAUCUUAAGUCUUAUGAGGAAGAUGAUGGACAAGCAAAAAAGGAAUCUGCUGAGGAGGAGGAAGAUGUCAAACCUGUCCCAUUUGCCAGGAUUUUGAAGUAUAAUGCCUCUGAAUGGCCAUACAUGGUGAUAGGAUCUCUGGGAGCAGCUGUGAAUGGAGCGCUCAGUCCACUCUAUGCUUUGUUAUUCAGUCAGAUUCUUGGGACCUUCUCCAUUCUUGAUGAAGAAGAACAAAAAGUCCAGAUCAAUGGUGUCUGCCUGCUGUUUGUCUUGGUUGGAGUCAUUUCAUUUUUUACACAGUUUUUACAGGGAUACAACUUUGCCAAGUCUGGAGAGCUGCUUACAAGACGGUUAAGGAAAAUUGGUUUCCAGGCUAUGCUAGGGCAAGACAUCGGCUGGUUUGAUGACCGGAGGAACAGCCCCGGGGCACUGACUACGAGGCUUGCAACAGAUGCAUCACAGGUCCAAGGGGCAACUGGAUCGCAGAUAGGAAUGAUCGUCAACUCCUUCACCAACAUUGGGGUGGCCAUCAUUAUUGCUUUCUACUUCAGCUGGAAACUGAGUUUGGUCAUAAUGUGUUUCCUGCCAUUUUUGGCCCUGUCUGGAGCUGUGCAAGCUAAAAUGUUGACAGGAUUUGCUGCUCAGGACAAGAAAGCUCUGGAAGCUACUGGACAGAUUUCCAGUGAAGCCCUCUCUAACAUCAGAACUGUGGCUGGGAUAGGAAAAGAAAAAAAGUUUAUUGAUGCUUUUGAGAAAAACCUGGAUAUGCCGUACAGAGCUGCAAUCAAAAAAGCAAAUGUUUAUGGAAUCUGCUUUGGCUUCGCCCAGAGCAUAGUGUUCAUAGCCAACUCCGUCUCUUACAGAUAUGGAGGGUUUCUGGUUCAAACUGAAGGGCUCCAUUACAGCUUUGUGUUCAGAGUGAUCUCUGCAAUUGUGACCAGUGGGACUGCUUUGGGAAGAGCUUCUUCCUACACCCCGAACUAUGCCAAAGCCAAAACAUCUGCUGCACGUUUGUUUCAACUCAUCGAUCGGCUUCCUAAAAUCAGUGUUUACAGCAAAAAAGGAGAAAAAUGGGAUGAUUUUAAGGGGAGCAUUGAAUUUCUUAACUGUAAAUUCACAUACCCCUCGCGGCCCGAUAUUCAGGUCCUGAAAGGACUGUCUGUAGCUGUUAAGCCUGGACAGACAUUGGCAUUUGUUGGCAGUAGCGGCUGUGGUAAGAGCACCAGUGUCCAGCUUCUGGAGCGUUUCUAUGAUCCUGAGAAAGGAAGUGUGUUAAUAGAUGGACAUGACACCAAGAAAGUAAAUGUACAGUUUCUCAGAUCGAAAAUUGGAGUAGUGUCUCAGGAACCCGUGCUAUUCGACUGCAGCAUUGCUGACAACAUUAAGUAUGGCAGUAACACCAAGGACACGACAAUGGAAAAAGUCAUAGAAGCAGCCAAGAAGGCUCAGCUGCAUGAUUUUGUCAUGUCACUUCCUGAAAAAUACGAAACUAAUGUUGGUGCUCAAGGAUCUCAACUGUCUCGUGGGCAAAAACAACGUAUUGCUAUAGCGAGGGCCAUCAUACGAGAUCCUAAAAUUUUAUUAUUGGAUGAAGCUACAUCUGCCUUAGACACAGAAAGUGAAAAGACUGUGCAAGCAGCACUGGAUAAGGCCAGAGAAGGGCGCACCUGCAUCGUCAUUGCCCACCGCCUGUCCACAAUUGAGAAUGCAGACAUCAUUGCUGUGAUGUCACAAGGAAUCAUCAUUGAAAGGGGCACUCAUGAUGAACUAAUGGCAAUGGAAGGAGCAUACUAUAAGCUUGUUACCACUGGAGCCCCAAUUAGCUGAAUUACUGUGAUACUGCAUUUCAAAGACUGUUUAUCUGAACAAAUACUUUGCAGUAGGAAAUAGUUUUCAGCCAACUGCAAAGGGAGAGAAAGCCUGAGAAUAGGAAGAUGUUCACUGGUGAGCUGGGAAAUUGCCACCGUCUGCAGUUAGACUGCACAGUCCUGUCUCUCCCUUAAUUAGCAAUCAAGGAAGACUCCAUUCUGAUGUUCUGGAAACUGCCACUUCUUGAGGUAAGCUGUAUGAAUUAAAAAACAAUCCCAAGCACAAAGGUGUAUUACUGAAGGGUUCAAAUUCCUCCUGAUGUUCUGCUCUACAGAGGAUUAUAAUAGAUACCCUCCUCCUGGGUACAAAGACUUGACCCUUUGCACCACUUUAUUCUAUGCCUACUUCAGCUGUGAUGCUGGAAGAGGCCAGGUUGCCUCUGGGUACAGAGUGAACACAUGGAGCCCUCAGCUUGACACAGCAGUAUCCUUCCAGUAAAACCAGUAAGUAGGUGCUCACAAAGAGGGCAGCUUCACAACAGUAAGGAAAUAAAUAACUCAGAUAAGGAAUAUAACCUGGUAAGUCUCAGUUCUCCUACACAUUGCUCUGAUCGAAGCUGCCAAAUAGAUUUUGAAUAUCAACAAAUGCUUUAGAUAAAUCAAUGUAGAAUCCCACAGUUAAUUGAUUGGCACAGUUAUUUAAAUCACUUCUAUUGAGAAGUGAUUUAUAUUGACAGAUAACAUGUGUUGUUUUUUUUCAGAAGGCACAGCAAUGCCUUUGGAAAUUAUUUUUUACAGAAACGGUAAGGGUGAAAAAAAAUAAGAAUUUUCAGCCAUAAUUAACUAGCUGUAUUAAGCAGAUUUAAGAAAUGGAACAACAGAGAUCAGGAAGUAUCUUCCUCUGCCAGAGGGAAAAGUUUUUUUUUAUAAGUACUACUGCAUGUUUUCCUGGAAUAUGUUACUGAGUAGUGAUUGGGAAUACUGAGACAAAUUACAAUAUUGAAAUUUAAAUCUUGAUUUGGAAAGAUAGAGUAUCAACUGGAAAAGUAAUUCUCAACAUCCUGAUAUCUGCAGCUCAUGUGUGUGCAGAUUUCCCCCACUUUGUAACAAGUCACCCCAUAAAACUAUAUAUUAUAAAACUGUGCAACAGUACAACUGCUAAAACUUAAAUAAAGGUGGAAGGUUGAAAACUUCAGUAGGAUCCAUGUCUUAAUUCCAGGCAACAAAAAAUAAUUUCAAGAUUUAUACAAUUCCACUUAUAGAAUGCCUUCAUCAGAAACCACAUAAUUGACUUUAAAGUGCUAUUUGUCCCAGAGAAAUUUGUGUUUUAGUCACUAACUGAAAAUGAACAAAGAAGCUCAUUAUUAACCUUGUGUUUUAAUUAUCUAUAGCCUUUUUACGUUUCAGAGCAGUAAUUAGGUAGGGGGGCUCAGGACUGAAGCUAUCUACAGAAUGACUGACAUUUCUUACUGGCUUGUGCUUUAGCAUCUCUUACCCUUCAGUAUCCGCAGCAGACAGCAAAUAUUUGAAUGUAUUUAGCUAAUGCCUGUGGCAAGGAUCUGCUCUGCAGUGCAGAACUGUUGAGAAGACCAAUGAAGCUACGCUAACCCUUGCCUGCAGAGGAGCCUGCUAUCUCCUUGCAGCUCAACAGCGUGGGACCAUCUGGGUGAUACAAUUGCUAAUUAAGCUGCUCUUCUCAGUGAGGUAACUAUUUUUUGAUGACUAGUACAUAUUGAGAGUUAUGUAUUAUACAGACAUACUUGCUAACAGAAGGCACAGUGUACAAAAGUUGCGUUGCUCCUGCACAUUCUUGGUUGCCACCUCCUGCCAUUUUGUGGCUGUGUGCUAUUGAAACCAGUUGAUUGUAAAUUCCUUGAGUACCUGUGUGAAGGGACUAGAGUGCAAUCAGAGUGACAUGUCUGAGCAGAGAGAAGGAUUUUGAGGCAGGAAAAAGAGGGAGGAAGAGAAAAGCUGCAUAUUGUUGAAAAUAAGCAUUGUGAAUUGGAUGCAAAGACAGCUUGAGAGCUAGUUUGUAGGAGGACUGACAGACACUUGCCUUCACAACUGCUACUUCACAUAAUUCAGCUACAGGCUAGCAAGAAGCUUUCAGGAUCUUUCUGCAGAAGGGCUUUUGGCACUGCAUUAUUCCAGUUAGAAGAUCUCUAAGUCAAGAAUAAAAGAUUAACUUUCUCCUGGGGCCCCAUUACUGAGAGCAAGAGAAUCAGGUAAGCACUUUCUCGUUCUUAACAGGAAACUUAAAACAGCUACAAAAGCCUGAUGAAGUUAUACUUUAAAUGUUUAACAACUUGAAAGCUCCUAGUUAAAUUGCCACACAGCCUUAUUAAAGAAGGCUUGAAGUGUAAUUUUCAACUGUGAUAAAUUCACUAGAGCCUGACUAAGGGACACAUAGACUUAUUUUACUGUAUCAGUGAAAGGGCCAAUUCCUGAUUUACGUACUAAUUCUAUCAAAACCUCGAGAUUGAUCUUAUAUUUAUUUAUCCCACCACUCUAGAAAAAACUACCCAGUCUGAAGUUUUGGGAGCCCUCUAUUGAGAUUCUUUAAGGUAGAUGCGCAAAACUCCAGCACACUACAGCUGCUCAGAAAGUGCCUAUUCUACUGCCAUAUCAACAGUUUAACUUAUUAAGUCAUUGGUAAAAUGAAACUUAGUUCUAGUAAUGUUUCAGUAGUUUCAGAAAAAAAAAAAGAGAUGGUUCAGACAGGAAGCUGGUCCCUUUCCCUGAAGCACUGUGGUUGCAGGCUGAACUAAUAGGAAGCUCCAAGAAGACAAGUGAGCUCGUUUUCACCUUAUGCAUCUGUAUGCCGUAUAAAAGAAUACUGCAGUACUGUUAA